rnacentral:rRNA from 1 species
GAUGAACGCUGGCGGCGUGCUUAACACAUGCAAGUCGAACGGAAAGGCUCCUGCUUGCAGGGGUACUCGAGUGGCGAACGGGUGAGUAACACGUGGGUGAUCUGCCCUGCACUUCGGGAUAAGCCGGGGAAACUGGGUCUAAUACCGGAUAGGACGAUGGUUUGGAUGCCAUUGUGGAAAGUUUUUCGGUGUGGGAUGAGCUCGCGGCCUAUCAGCUUGUUGGUGGGGUAAUGGCCUACCAAGGCGUCGACGGGUAGCCGGCCUGAGAGGGUGUACGGCCACAUUGGGACUGAGAUACGGCCCAGACUCCUACGGGAGGCAGCAGUGGGGAAUAUUGCACAAUGGGCGCAAGCCUGAUGCAGCGACGCCGCGUGGGGGAUGACGGCCUUCGGGUUGUAAACUCCUUUCGCUAGGGACGAAGCGCAAGUGACGGUACCUGGAGAAGAAGCACCGGCUAACUACGUG